rnacentral:rRNA from 1 species
UACGUAGGUGGCAAGCGUUGUCCGGAUUUAUUGGGUUUAAAGGGUGCGUAGGCGGCCCUGUAAGUCAGUGCUGAAAUAUCCCGGCUUAACCGGGAGGGUGGCAUUGAUACUGCAGGGCUUGAGUAAAGUUGAGGUAGGCGGAAUUGACGGUGUAGCGGUGAAAUGCUUAGAUAUCGUCAAGAACACCGAUAGUGUAGACAGCUUAC